rnacentral:rRNA from 1 species
ACUCAAAUGAAUUGACGGGGACCCGCACAAGCGGUGGAGCAUGUGGUUUAAUUCGAUGCAACGCGAAGAACCUUACCUGGCCUUGACAUCCCAGGAACCCUGAAGAGAUUUAGGGGUGCCGUAAGGAACCUGGAGACAGGUGCUGCAUGGCUGUCGUCAGCUCGUGUCGUGAGAUGUUGGGUUAAGUCCCGCAACGAGCGCAACCCUUGUCUUUAGUUGCCAGCAUUAAGUUGGGCACUCUAAAGAGACCGCCGGUGACAAACCGGAGGAAGGUGGGGAUGACGUCAAGUCAUCAUGGCCUUUAUGGCCAGGGCUACACACGUGCUACAAUGGCAGAUACAGAGGGAAGCCAACGCGCGAGCGGGAGCCAAUCCCAGAAAAUCUGUCGUAGUCCGGAUCGGAGUCUGCAACUCGACUCCGUGAAGUUGGAAUCGCUAGUAAUCGCAGAUCAGCAUUGCUGCGGUGAAUACGUUCCCGGGUCUUGCACACACCGCCCGU